rnacentral:pre_miRNA from 1 species
AAAAUACUCCCUCCGUUCCAAAUUACUCGUCGCAGAAAUGGAUGUAUCUAGAACUAAAAUACAUCUAGAUACAUCCAUAUCUGCGACAAGUAAUUUGGAACGGAGGGAGUACAUU